GGCUCACCUAGGCGACGAUCCCUAGCUGGUCUGAGAGGAUGACCAGCCACACUGGAACUGAGACACGGUCCAGACUCCUACGGGAGGCAGCAGUGGGGAAUAUUGCACAAUGGGCGCAAGCCUGAUGCAGCCAUGCCGCGUGUGUGAAGAAGGCCUUCGGGUUGUAAAGCACUUUCAGCGGGGAGGAAGGCGAUAAGGUUAAUAACCUUGUCGAUUGACGUUACCCGCAGAAGAAGCACCGGCUAACUCCGUGCCAGCAGCCGCGGUAAUACGGAGGGUGCAAGCGUUAAUCGGAAUUACUGGGCGUAAAGCGCACGCAGGCGGUCUGUCAAGUCGGAUGUGAAAUCCCCGGGCUUAACCUGGGAACUGCAUUCGAAACUGGCAGGCUAGAGUCUUGUAGAGGGGGGUAGAAUUCCAGGUGUAGCGGUGAAAUGCGUAGAGAUCUGGAGGAAUACCGGUGGCGAAGGCGGCCCCCUGGACAAAGACUGACGCUCAGGUGCGAAAGCGUGGGGAGCAAACAGGAUUAGAUACCCUGGUAGUCCACGCCGUAAACGAUGUCGAUUUGGAGGUUGUGCCCUUGAGGCGUGGCUUCCGGAGCUAACGCGUUAAAUCGACCGCCUGGGGAGUACGGCCGCAAGGUUAAAACUCAAAUGAAUUGACGGGGGCCCGCACAAGCGGUGGAGCAUGUGGUUUAAUUCGAUGCAACGCGAAGAACCUUACCUGGUCUUGACAUCCACAGAACUUUCCAGAGAUGGAUUGGUGCCUUCGGGAACUGUGAGACAGGUGCUGCAUGGCUGUCGUCAGCUCGUGUUGUGAAAUGUUGGGUUAAGUCCCGCAACGAGCGCAACCCUUAUCCUUUGUUGCCAGCGGUCCGGCCGGGAACUCAAAGGAGACUGCCAGUGAUAAACUGGAGGAAGGUGGGGAUGACGUCAAGUCAUCAUGGCCCUUACGACCAGGGCUACACACGUGCUACAAUGGCAUAUACAAAGAGAAGCGACCUCGCGAGAGCAAGCGGACCUCAUAAAGUAUGUCGUAGUCCGGAUUGGAGUCUGCAACUCGACUCCAUGAAGUCGGAAUCGCUAGUAAUCGUAGAUCAGAAUGCUACGGUGAAUACGUUCCCGGGCCUUGUACACACCGCCCGUCACACCAUGGGAGUGGGUUGCAAAAGAAGUAGGUAGCUUAACCUUCGGGAGGGCGCUUACCACUUUGUGAUUCAUGACUGGGGUGAAGUCGUAACAAGGUAACCGUAGGGGAACCUGCGGUUGGAUCACCU
rnacentral:rRNA from 1 species